CCCAUUCUGACGGAAGCACUUCAAAGCCUGUCUCUGCCAGGUACAUCCAUCAUGAAAUGUCAUGGUGGUCAGUUUGGUCCUCCAGCACUGACUGUAGGUCCCCACACAUUCUUCACGGUGCCAGCUCAGCAUCAGGCCCACCAGACCCCUGACCAAAAUCAGGCCCGCAGGCCCACACCAGUGCUCUCCCUCCCUCCUGGGACCAGCUAUCCUGAUGAAAUGUUUGAGGAAACAAGGCUCCUACCCUCUGCUAUGGAGGCACUGCGGGAAGACACUGGGAACCCCUUCGUUGUCUACCUGAACAGUGGCCGGCCUGUGGCAUACAUCACUGGGAUGUGGUGUCAGCGACUGGGGAUGGAGAGCGCACAUGUUGCUGCAUGAUUACAAUUGCCGACUCGAAGAGGCAUUAAAGCCAGGAAAUGAAAAAGAGAUGAACCAUAUUACUUUACCCUCGGGACCCUGGACAGUCUGUUUAUAUGGUCGCCAGGAGGCAACCCUGUGGAAGGGCUCCAGCGUUCGGCAUGACCUAACCUGCGGGUCUGUUUUCUUGUCUGGAAUCUUCUCUUUGGGGAUGGGGGUGGGGGUGCUGAGUGCUGUCUGAUACUAAAUAUUUCCAGUCAGGGAAAUCCUAACCUCCCUUCAAUGCUCCUGAGCAAAUUCUGAGUCCAGCUCCACCCUGUUUCAUUCCGCU
rnacentral:lncRNA from 1 species